GUCUACAGCCAUGCCACCCUAAACAAGCCCGAUCCCAUCUGAUCUCAGAAGCUAAGCAGGGUCGGGCCUGGUUAGUACUUAGAUGGG
rnacentral:miRNA from 1 species